UUCGCCCUUAGAGUUUGAUCCUGGCUCAGAGCGAACGCUGGCGGCAGGCUUAACACAUGCAAGUCGAGCGGGCCCUUCGGGGUCAGCGGCAGACGGGUGAGUAACGCGUGGGAACGUGCCCUUCGGUUCGGAAUAACCCUGGGAAACUAGGGCUAAUACCGGAUACGCCCCUUGGGGGAAAGGUUUACUGCCGAAGGAUCGGCCCGCGUCUGAUUAGCUAGUUGGUGAGGUAACGGCUCACCAAGGCGACGAUCAGUAGCUGGUCUGAGAGGAUGAUCAGCCACACUGGGACUGAGACACGGCCUAGACUCCUACGGGAGGCAGCAGAAGGG
rnacentral:rRNA from 1 species